CAUCGGCGGCGAGCGAUUCCGGUAGCCGGGUUCCGAGAGAGAGUGAUACGGCACAUUCGACUGAAACCGUCGAAAUCCUACGGAGGCAGCAGGGGAUAAUUGACAUGGGCGCAGCUGAUCAGCCAUGCGCGUGUGUGAGAGACCCUCGGGUGUAAAGCACUUUCAGUGGGGAAGAAAGCUCGCGCUAUAUCCGCGAGGAAGGACAUCACCCACAGAGAGCACGGCUAACUCCGUGCCAGCAGCCGCGGUAAUACGGAGGGUGCGAGCGUUAAUCGGAAUUACUGGGCGUAAAGCGCGCAUAGGUGGCUUGAUAAGCCGGUUGUGAAAGCCCCGGGCUCAACCUGGGAACGGCAUCCGGGAACUGUCAGGCUAGAGUGCAGGAGAGGAAGGUAGAAUUCCCGGUGUAGCGGUGAAAUGCGUAGAGAUCGGGAGGAAUACCAGUGGCGAAGGCGGCCUUCUGGACUGACACUGACACUGAGGUGCGAAAGCGUGGGUAGCAAACAGGAUUAGAUACCCUGGUAGUCCACGCCGUAAACGAUGUCGACUAGCCGUUGGGUCCUUCGCGGACUUUGUGGCGCAGUUAACGCGAUAAGUCGACCGCCUGGGGAGUACGGCCGCAAGGUUAAAACUCAAAUGAAUUGACGGGGGCCCGCACAAGCGGUGGAGCAUGUGGCUUAAUUCGAUGCAACGCGAAGAACCUUACCUACCCUUGACAUCCUGCGAACCCUUCGGAGACGAAGGGGUGCCUUCGGGAACGCAGAGACAGGUGCUGCAUGGCUGUCGUCAGCUCGUGUUGUGAAAUGUUGGGUUAAGUCCCGUAACGAGCGCAACCCUUGUCCUUAUUUGCCAGCGAGUAAAGUCGGGAACUCUAAGGAGACUGCCGGUGACAAACCGGAGGAAGGUGGGGACGACGUCAAGUCAUCAUGGCCCUUACGGGUAGGGCUACACACGUGCUACAAUGGUCAGUACAAAGGGUUGCGAACUCGCGAGAGCAAGCCAAUCCCAGAAAGCUGAUCUCAGUCCGGAUCGGAGUCUGCAACUCGACUCCGUGAAGUCGGAAUCGCUAGUAAUCGUGAAUCAGAAUGUCACGGUGAAUACGUUCCCGGGCCUUGUACACACCGCCCGUCACACCAUGGGAGUGGACUGCACCAGAAGUGGUUAGCCUAACCUUCGGGAGGGCGAUCACCACGGUGUGGUUCAUGACUGGGGUGAAGUCGUAACAAGGUAACCAAUCUCUAGAGUCCCCCGACAGCACCU
rnacentral:rRNA from 1 species